rnacentral:rRNA from 1 species
GUGGGGAAUUUUGCGCAAUGGGGGAAACCCUGACGCAGCAACGCCGAGUGAGUGAUGAAGGCCUUCGGGUCGUAAAGCUCUGUCAGAGGGGAAGAAAUGCAGGGGUGCUAAUAUCAUCUUUGCUUGACGGUACCCUCAAAGGAAGCACCGGCUAACUCCGUGCCAGCAGCCGCGGUAAUACGGAGGGUGCGAGCGUUGUUCGGAAUUAUUGGGCGUAAAGCGCGUGUAGGCGGUUUGGUAAGUCUGAUGUGAAAGCGCCGGGCUCAACCUGGGAAGUGCAUUGGAAACGGUCAGACUUGAAUACGGGAGAGGGUAGUGGAAUUCCUAGUGUAGGAGUGAACUCCGUAGAUAUUAGGAGGAACACCGGUGGCGAAGGCGGCUACCUGGACCGAUAUUGACGCUGAGACGCGAAAGCGUGGGGAGCAAACAGGAUUAGAAACCCCUGUAGUCC